CCUUGUUGCCAGCAUGGCCUGGGACCAGUUCUCACCUCCGAAGUGUAGUUGGUCCCGUUCUCCAGCCCGGAAUCGGCUUCAUCACACCCAUCUCCCAGAGGCACCAUCUGUACAGCACCCCUUCCUCGGAGGUCUUCCUCAAAGUUGGAGGAAGAACUCCAACUUCCUCGGAGUCCUAGCUCUGUGGACGCCUCUUCUGAGUCCUUGGGGAUCUUUCAGGACUUCAUCUUUCUAAUGGCUUCAACCCACCUCAUGAGGCUCCCAGAUCUGUAUUUCCUUCCCAUCUCUCUCCCGGACACUGUCAUGUACCUUAUGGAAAUCCUAUGGUCGUCUUACCCUGUGAUGCCCGAGUAAGAAGUUGACCUAGUCCUCUGCAGGUCUACUCCACCCACGGAGGUCAGACCUGAUCACGUGGUCAGAUCUGAUCACGUGGUCCGGCCGUCACCAGCUCAGUUUCCGUCUCCGCUGUACUCCGUUUACGCUUCUGCAGCACCAGGCUGCACUGUCAGCCCUACAUCACACACCCGUACUUUGCCUGGCUAACUGCUUGAAGACUCAAGGUCACUGAUCCAGGAAGGCACCCCUAAACCUCCUCUCAUCCUCUGUCCCUCUGUGCUCCCCACAUACAGUAGAAUGAUGCUACUGAGCGUAACGGUCAAGCGUCCAGUCUUCUGAGCCUCCUUUGUUUGUGGGUCUUUCACAACACGGAACAGAGCAAAGUUCUAUCCAACUAUGAAUUUCUUUUUGCUAGAGAACAUAGAAAUGGUUGAUAUUUUAUACUGAUGGGAAGUGGUGACUUCAAAAUAUGCCUAUCAAAAUGGGAUCUUCCUGACCCAGGGAUUGAAUCUGCAUCUCCUACAAUGGCAGGUGGGUUCUUCACCACUGAGCCGCCAGAGAAGCCAUUAAGACAGAUCAAAACACAGUCUGGGAUCCUUUAUAUCUAAACGACAGCGGGAAAAGAGCAUGCAGGAUCCUAGUUCCCUGGCCAAGGAUUGAACCCGUGCCCCCUGCACUGGAAGCACAAGUCUUAACCACUGGACCUUUGGUGAAGUCCCUAUCGUUACUGAGUUUAACGCAGCCUUGGUUACUGUGAUAAGCUUCUCCUGAAAAUAACAGAAAGAAAUACACAAAUAGGAAGGCAUCCCAUUGCAAAGUCAACAUAUUAUCCAUCUAAGACAGAAACUGCUAUACAGGAGUCACUGGGGAGAUGCCGGAGCAGACAGAAACAAGCCCCGGGCCCCCUGGCAUCGGGCGAGGGGCACUGAGGGGACAGACGUGGCAGCCAAGCUCUGGAAAACACUUGGGAAGCCAUCCCACUGACCAACAUGAGUACUGAGGACUCUGCACUUCCCAUUCUUUCAGCUGACUUAAAGAACUGUCACUUUGGUCAUCAGUCCAAGCUGCAUGUGAAACAUUCAAGAUAAGUUCAUUUUGGAAGGGGGCGGCAGGAGGGACCGUAGAUGUCAAGGUUGAGAGAUGUAAUGUUUUUAGAGCUUAAUGAGAAGCAGUAUCAUUAAAGAAUUCACAUCUGUACAACAUUAAAA
ensembl:lncRNA